rnacentral:rRNA from 1 species
UACAUGGGGUGCAAACGUUGCUCGGAAUUAUUGGGCGUAAAGCGCACGUAGGCGGUUCGUUAAGUCGGAUGUGAAAGCCCUCGGCUCAACUGAGGAAGUGCACCCGAAACUGGCGAGCUUGAGUACGAAAGAGGAUCGCGGAAUUCCCGGUGUAGAGGUGAAAUUCGUAGAUAGUCGGGAGGAACACCGGUGGCGAAGGCGGCGAUCUGGGUCGAUACUGACGCUGAGGUGCGAAAGCGUGGGGAGCAAACAGG